rnacentral:piRNA from 1 species
UGAAUAUGGAUUCUAGUACCGCCGAGAAU